CACAGGCCGAUUCCUCCACUGGCCGUCAAACAGCUAAAACUAUAGGUGAAAUUCUCUUUUAGGUUACUGUGAGGAGGGGCUUAUCUCUAUUUGAAUAUGCAUAUAGUGAUUCUUCACCAAGAAUCUUUGGGAUCUAAUUUCUUCAACCAGUUUAUUUUAGGGUCAUUUUUAGAGUAGGUGGAUCUGCCUAGUUUUCAAUUUGACACCCUAGAAAAAUAAAAGCAUUGGUGACUAUUGAAGACUGUAUCUGCUACUUGUGAUGUUGUUUGGGUUUUGUUUGUCUCUAAUUCUUGAGGGUGGACCAGGAAAAUAUCAGGGAUAAUGACAGGAACCCAUGAGCAGAGGCCAAGAAUCUAUAAAUACCAAGCACCUGUCACCUUCUAGCUGGUGUAAUUCUCAC
rnacentral:lncRNA from 1 species